GGCACAUCGAACACCGCCCCUUUUCCCUUCUCCAUAAAAAUGGGUUCGGUGGGACGAUCGAAGAGCAGCAAUAGAUUGUUCUUGUCAGCCAUUUUAAAUUGCUAUUUAGAUAGUACCUUUUGGAAUUGAAGUAAAAUUUAGUAGUUCUUAGAUUCACUAAGCGUUCACAACUGUAGUUCAGUACGUAACUGAUGGUUUGAGAUAUUCACACAUAAUGCGCGUAUAAAUCCACAAAACUACUUAUCAGUGCUCAAAUUCGUUGUGGUUUUGUUAUCACACAGCGUUAUUUUGACAGCAUAGGAGUGCGGUGACCGUUCUGUCAUUUCGAUAGCUAUCCUAAUAUAUUCCCACAAACCUUUAAGAUAUUGUAUAUGCGUGCAUUUCGGAACAGAAAUAUCGUAUUUGCAAAAAGCGUGGAAAGUAGUUCCAAUUCAGCACAUCUGAAACAUAGAUAUGUACAUAGGAUUAAACGGAAUAUACUUGUAUAUAUGUACGUAUGUACAUGCAAUUGCGGUUCUAUAGAAAGCUAAGUAAACUGUGCAGUGUUGCGCUGAUAAGUGUACGAAAUAUGAAAGGCAAGAUUCAAACUAUUAAACAACAAUAAAUAUUAACUUGUAUUGUCGCGAUUGAACGAUCUAUAAUACAAAAUAUUUGAAGGAAGAAUUUUUUAUUAAAUAGUAUCUUAACCGCUCAUAUGUUACGAAGGGAAAAGUGCUUUCUUAGUUUUGUCACACUGGUGGAAUUAACUAAAUUUCCGUCAACGUAUGCCCACACAAUGGUCUGGUCCAAAAUUUGUAAAAGCGAUGAUUCGAAUGAACUGCUCAUAUUUCAUAAGCCAUGCCAUGGAAUUGUUAAUUUAAAAAAUUUUGCGUUUAUGACUGUAAUCUCUAGAUAAUUAACGCAGUGUAACUUGUUUUAAAAAAUACCGUUAAUUUUUUCGUAUAUAUCUUAUAACAUAUGUAUAUACAAUUUUGUAUGAGAUCGUGGACAAACUAUUUAUGAUAUACGUAUAUAUAAUAUAUUAGGUCUAGCAAAUUCCAUUAUUCUUCCAAUACGUGGCUUUAGUUAUCUUCCUUGUAAAAGUGCGAUUGGGUUAUGCAAUAUAGCAUUCGAAAGACAAUAUUUCAUACUAAAAAACCUUUCAGAUAUUUUUGUGGUUACUUGAGUCCGUCAAAUAUGAAAACCAGCAAAGAAAAAAUACGACAAAUUCUAAAGUUUUCCUUUAAGGCGAAAACGAAAGUCAGGUGCCUGAAAAUGUGAAUAGUUUUUAUGGCUCCAAUACUGUAGGAGUCAGUCACGUGCAAUUUUGGUUUCGGCGAUAUCGUUCCGGUAAUUUUGAUGUCAAAAAAACACCGCGCUUUGGAGGGCAAAUUGUUGAAAAUAUCGACAAAAUAAUGGUAUCCGUUAUGCGAACAUCAUGCUGAAUAAAAAACAGCUCGAUGAAUCGGUAACACACGAGUUAACUCAAAAUGCCUCAUGGACUGAAUUUGCAUCUGCGUAUCGCAACAGAAUCGAUUAAUUUCUGAAGAUGAUGGUUACAGUGAUGAAAAAUGGAUCACUUACGACAACGUCAAGCGAAAACAGUCAUGAUCGAAUCAAGGUGAGCUAUCACGAACGCUGGCUCACUGGUGAGAUGCUUCCCUAUGGCCAAACUCCUGAAUCGGACCUGUACUGUCAACAAUUGAACUGUCAAAAGUGUGCAAGGCAAAAAUAAUGAAUUUCUAUUUACUAGACCUUAGACGUCCCAAAAACCUAACUUUGUAUUUAAAUCAUACAACAUGCAACGUUAGUUAUUAAAGAGUUACAGUAAUUUUUAUUAAAUAAAAAGUGUGCAAUUGUUCCAUUCCUACAAAGGGAAGAUAUAAAAUUGAAAACAAGGAUGCACCGAAGCUAGAAUACCUUUCACAAAUAAAAUAAAGACUUUCAUAUGAAAACUUAAUAUUGAUCAGUCGAUUUGUAUAACAGCUAUAUGCUACAGUGGUCUGUUCUGAACAAUUUGUAUAUCGGAGUAUUGCCUUGAACAAUAAUUAAU